ensembl:lincRNA
GAAAUACAAAAAUAACUGAAAGGAAGAUAAAUAGUGUGCUUCAAGGAAAUGCACUAAGGAAAUGGACUUGAACAUGCAAAAAUCUCUGUGACUUGAUUCUCAGUAUAAAGCAAUUCAUAUCUUGUUUGGGGAAGAACUUUUCCCAUUCUUUUGGUGUUUUAACCAAAUCCACAUCUUUCCCUGGUGCUUUGUGGAGCAGAUCUACUUAAGCAAGUAACUGCUUUGAGUGCAGACCUCUCUGUAUUUACUACAGUGUCCAGGCUGGAAGAAGUUGAGUUCUAAAUGCACUGUCACCACCUGAAAAAGGGAUUUUGGCAAAGCCCCAUGUUAUAGAUUGAAUUGUAUACCUCCCCAACUUCAAAUGUCCUUAUCCCCAGUACCUCAGAAUGUGACCAUUCGGAGAUAAGUUCUUCAUAGAGGUGUGAAGUUAAAAUGAGGCCAUUAGACUGGGCCUGCAUCCAAUAUGACUUGUGUUCCUAUAAGAAGAGGGAAUUUGGCCACAGACACGCAUAGAGGGACGAUGAUGUGAAGAGACACAGGGAGAGGAUGGCCAAUGACAAGCCAGGGAGAGAGACCUGGAACAGAUUGUGCCUUCACUGCCCUCAGAAGAAACCAACCCUUCUUGACACAUUGAUUUCAAACUUCUAGCUUCCAGACCUGGGAGAUAAUACAUUUCUUUUGUUUAAGCCACCCAGUUGAUGAUGUUACGGUAGCCCUAGCAAACAAACAUCGCCCAUUCAGAAAGACAUAUUGUAUGCCGGAUAAGAGGGGGAAGAUGAAGAAAGGAAGAAAAUAAUGAGUUGGGGAGAGCUUGAUGAUCUCAAGGGAUGUCUGGCCGAAGGGAGCCCUGGGUCCUCUGAAAGCAGCCACUGUGAAUUCCUUUAGGUAGGGAUUUGAUCGGGCUGUUUUCAUUCUGCUUUCUAUUAACAUGAACUGCCAGUGUGUGUUAUGUCCAGACAACCACCUUGUGGAAACCCAGAGAAAGCUGCAAAAUAGAAACGAGCCUGUGAAUCGGCUUUCAUCAUUGGCACCAAAGACCCGCCACUCUCGGGUAAUAAAGGACACGAAGAUCAAUCCCGAGGGAGAAGACUCCAGUUCCAGAAUGUCCCUUUGUCCAGAAACAGCUGUGUGGAAUUCAAGACUAUCCAAGGAUGGAAAGAUCACAGGAUCUCUUUCUUUCAUUGUCUACUUGUUCGUCUGGGCACCACACUGUGCUUCUGCCAUCUACGGAGCUGCCCACCACCGUGAAGGCGUGAGGCCUUAGGUUAAAGAUUUAUUCUUUUCUGCAG